rnacentral:tRNA from 1 species
GCCGGGGUGGCUCAGCUGUGGUCAGGCGCUGGACUCAUAAUCCAGAGGCCGCGGGUUCGACUCCCGCCCCCGGCA